CUGCGGAAGGAUCAUUAUUGAAUGAAGCCUCUGGCAAGGGGGUUGUAGCUGACNCCUCUAGGGGGGUAUGUGCACACCUGUCUGUCACUUGUUUCUUCNUUUUCUCCACAUGUGCACUUUUUGUAGGCAGCCUUGGCAAUUAACGUUCAGGUUGUCUAUGUUUUUUUACAUACACAUAUUCUAUAUGAAUGUUGUAAUGAGUGUUAUAAAAAUAAUAAUACAACUUUCAACAACGGAUCUCUUGGCUCUCGCAUCGAUGAAGAACGCAGCGAAAUGCGAUAAGUAAUGUGAAUUGCAGAAUUCAGUGAAUCAUCGAAUCUUUGAACGCACCUUGCGCUCCUUGGUAUUCCGAGGAGCAUGCCUGUUUGAGUGUCAUUAAAUCCUCAAAACCAUUGUGUUUUGGAUUAUGGGAGUGUCUGCUGGCUUACUCCAAGUCAGCUCUCCUGAAAAACAUUAGCUUGGGGGGAUGUGCCAAGUCAACUUUGCCUCUCAUUGGUGUGAUAGAUAUUAUCUACGCCAGGAAGUGAAGCACUUCGGAUCCUUCUGCUCUCUAAUCAAAUUCUGUAACCAACUUGACCUCAAAUCAGGUAGGAAUACCCGCUGAACUUAAGCAUAU
rnacentral:rRNA from 1 species